rnacentral:rRNA from 1 species
CCUACGGGUGGCAGCAGUGAGGAAUAUUGGUCAAUGGACGAGCGUCUGAACCAGCCAAGUAGCGUGAAGGAUGACUGCCCUAUGGGUUGUAAACUUCUUUUAUAUGGGAAUAAAACGUUCCACGUGUGGGUUUUUGUAUGUACCUUAUGAAUAAGGAUCGGCUAACUCCGUGCCAGCAGCCGCGGUAAUACGGAGGAUCCGAGCGUUAUCCGGAUUUAUUGGGUUUAAAGGGAGCGUAGGUGGAUUGUUAAGUCAGUUGUGAAAGUUUGCGGCUCAACCGUAAAAUUGCAGUUGAUACUGGCAGUCUUGAGUACAGGUGAGGUGGGCGGAAUUCGUGGUGUAGCGGGGAAAUGCUUAGAUAUCACGAAGAACUCCGAUUGCGAAGGCAGUUUACGAGACUGUAACUGACACUGAGGCUCGAAAGUGUGGGUAUCAAACAGGAUUAGAUACCCCUGUAGUC